UAGGGAAUCUUCGGCAAUGGACGAAAGUCUGACCGAGCAACGCCGCGUGAGUGAAGAAGGUUUUCGGAUCGUAAAACUCUGUUGUUAGAGAAGAACAAGGACGUUAGUAACUGAACGUCCCCUGACGGUAUCUAACCAGAAAGCCACGGCUAACUACGUGCCAGCAGCCGCGGUAAUACGUAGGUGGCAAGCGUUGUCCGGAUUUAUUGGGCGUAAAGCGAGCGCAGGCGGUUUCUUAAGUCUGAUGUGAAAGCCCCCGGCUCAACCGGGGAGGGUCAUUGGAAACUGGGAGACUUGAGUGCAGAAGAGGGGAGUGGAGUUCCAUGUGUAGCGGUGAAAUGCGUAGAUAUAUGGAGGAACACCAGUGGCGAAGGCGGCUCUCUGGUCUGUAACUGACGCUGAGGCUCGAAAGCGUGGGGAGCAAACGGG
rnacentral:rRNA from 1 species